rnacentral:rRNA from 1 species
GGGUUGUGAGGUUAAGCGACUAAGCGUACACGGUGGAUGCCCUGGCAGUCAGAGGCGAUGAAGGGCGUGCUAAUCUGCGAUAAGCGCCGGUAAGGUGAUAUGAACCGUUAUAACCGGCGAUACCCGAAUGGGGAAACCCAGUGUGAUUCGUCACACUAUCAUUAACUGAAUCCAUAGGUUAAUGAGGCGAACCGGGGGAACUGAAACAUCUAAGUACCCCGAGGAAAAGAAAUCAACCGAGAUUCCCCCAGUAGCGGCGAGCGAACGGGGAGGAGCCCAGAGCCUGAAUCAGCAUGUGUGUUAGUGGAAGCGUCUGGAAAGGCGCGCGAUACAGGGUGACAGCCCCGUACACAAAAGUGCAUGUGCUGUGAGCUCGAUGAGUAGGGCGGGACACGUGGUAUCCUGUCUGAAUAUGGGGGGACCAUCCUCCAAGGCUAAAUACUCCUGACUGACCGAUAGUGAACCAGUACCGUGAGGGAAAGGCGAAAAGAACCCCGGCGAGGGGAGUGAAAAAGAACCUGAAACCGUGUACGUACAAGCAGUGGGAGCACAGGUUUACCUGUGUGACUGCGUACCUUUUGUAUAAUGGGUCAGCGACUUAUAUUCUGUAGCAAGGUUAACCGUAUAGGGGAGCCGUAGGGAAACCGAGUCUUAACCGGGCGUUAAGUUGCAGGGUAUAGACCCGAAACCCGGUGAUCUAGCCAUGGGCAGGUUGAAGGUUGGGUAACACUAACUGGAGGACCGAACCGACUAAUGUUGAAAAAUUAGCGGAUGACCUGUGGCUGGGGGUGAAAGGCCAAUCAAACCGGGAGAUAGCUGGUUCUCCCCGAAAGCUAUUUAGGUAGCGCCUCGUGAACUCAUCUCCGGGGGUAGAGCACUGUUUCGGCUAGGGGGCCAUCCCGGCUUACCAACCCGAUGCAAACUGCGAAUACCGGAGAAUGUUAUCACGGGAGACACACGGCGGGUGCUAACGUCCGUCGUGAAGAGGGAAACAACCCAGACCGCCAGCUAAGGUCCCAAAGUCAUGGUUAAGUGGGAAACGAUGUGGGAAGGCCCAGACAGCCAGGAUGUUGGCUUAGAAGCAGCCAUCAUUUAAAGAAAGCGUAAUAGCUCACUGGUCGAGUCGGCCUGCGCGGAAGAUGUAACGGGGCUAAACCAU